UUGGAGGGCAAGUCUGGUGCCAGCAGCCGCGGUAAUUCCAGCUCCAAUAGCGUAUAUUAAAGUUGUUGCAGUUAAAAAGCUCGUAGUUGAAUUUCGGGAUCAAUUUGCUGGUCGUGCCUCUGGUACGUACUGGUAUUAUUGGUUUCUCCCUUCUGACGAACCAUGAUGUCAUUAAUUUGAUGUCGUGGAGAAUCAGGGCUGUUACUUUGAAAAAAUUAGAGUGUUUAAAGCAGGCAUUAGCUUGAAUACAUUAGCAUGGAAUAAUGAAAUAGGACGUUUGAUCCUAUUUUGUUGGUUUCUGGGAUUGACGUAAUGAUUAAUAGGGAUAGUUGGGGGCAUUAGUAUUCAAUAGUCAGAGGUGAAAUUCUUGGAUUUAUUGAAGACUAACUACUGCGAAAGCAUUUGCCAAGGAUGUUUUCAUUAAUCAAGAACGAAAGUUAGGGGAUCGAAGACGAUCAGAUACCGUCGUAGUCUUAACCAUAAACUAUGCCGACUAGGGAUCGGAUGAUGUUAAUUUUUUAAUGACUCAUUCGGCGCCUUACGGGAAACCAAAGUGUUUGGGUUC
rnacentral:rRNA from 1 species